rnacentral:rRNA from 1 species
GAUGAACGCUGGCGGCGUGCUUAACACAUGCAAGUCGAACGGAAAGGCUCCUGCUUGCAGGGGUACUCGAGUGGCGAACGGGUGAGUAACACGUGGGUGAUCUGCCCUGCACUUCGGGAUAAGCCUGGGAAACUGGGUCUAAUACCGGAUAGGACCACAUUUUGGAUGGUGUGGUGGAAAGUUUUUCGGUGUGGGAUGAGCUCGCGGCCUAUCAGCUUGUUGGUGGGGUAAUGGCCUACCAAGGCGUCGACGGGUAGCCGGCCUGAGAGGGUGUACGGCCACAUUGGGACUGAGAUACGGCCCAGACUCCUACGGGAGGCAGCAGUGGGGAAUAUUGUACAAUGGGCGCAAGCCUGAUGCAGCGACGCCGCGUGGGGGAUGACGGCCGUCGGGUUGUAAACUCCUUUCGCUAGGGACGAAGCGCAAGUGACGGUACCUGGAGAAGAAGCACCGGCUAACUACGUG